GGAUUCGCUAGUAAUCGCGCAUCAGCCAUGGCGCGGUGAAUACGUUCCCGGGCCUUGUACACACCGCCCGUCAAGCCAUGGGAGCCGGGGGUGCCUGAAGUUCGUGACCGCAAGGAGCGACCUAGGGCAAAACUGGUGACUGGGGCUAAGUCGUAACAAGGUAAC
rnacentral:rRNA from 1 species